rnacentral:lncRNA from 1 species
UUCCACCACGCCGGCCACAAAUAGUGCCGAACAUCAAGGAGGUAAGAGAGACAGGGGAGGCAGAUGCGGCCGCCUGCAAAACGCGGCCUGGAGCUACUGGAGGAGUCGGGCUCUUUCUCACGCAGUCUUCAGGCAGAGCUGGGAUUUCUUCCCUUCACACUUCUCCCCCACGCCUCCACGGUCCCUCCUGCCACCCAGCCUUCCUUAGUUGGGAAGGUGGAUAUUUUAAUAACCAGUAAAUAAUAAAUACACAAUCUUAGGUUUGGUUAGGUUUUCAAAGUCGUCUCUCCAUUUAGAUCCUAAGAUCCUUGAAACACAGGAUAGCUUAGGACUUUUUUUUUUUUUUAAGUGCAGGAAAUUAGAAAUUUGGAGAGGGAUGGAGAUAGACUGCUAGUGCAGGGUUUUGCUUUGGGUUUGUUUGUUUGUUUGUUUUAAACUGGCUAUGAAGUUUACUCUCCCACAGAGUGGCAACAGAUCUCAGGGGAAGGAGGUGGGAAGCUACUUAAGUUCGAAGAAAACGCAGAUGUUUGGAAGGAAUUUCCAGAAAUAACCGAAGGAAAUGUUUUCUUGUUUAUGAAUGCUGAAAUCUGUGGUCUCUUUAGGAAGAUCACUGAGCCUUUUACGUAGAUUUUAUGGUACAGGCGAGAUACUGGAUAUUAAUUUUUUCUUAUAAUGGCACAGAACCUCAAUUCUUAAAGCUAUUCACGUAGGAUAUCACUGAGGUACGCACAGAGGGUUUCAGUUAAUCUUACAAUUGUAUUUUAUAUAGAAGAGGGUGGGGGAGCAGGGGGGAAAUAAACAUGUCUCAGCGCCUGAGCAAGGCUUGAGUGUUUAAGAAACAAAAUUUGAGGAAGAAUCAGGAGCACAAAUUGUUCUAGAUGCUGGACUAGCUUAUUAGCCCAGCACAGUGACCCUCCCAGAGGAAGGCUGCCACGUUCAAAGCACCAAUGCAUCGAUAUUACCAAGUACUCCCUUUUUCUUUAAAGG